AGGUUAUUGACAAAGCGCCGCUUGCGGAGAGAACAGGUAGAUUGUAAAGAUGCCGUCUGCCCUUUGAAAAAAUAUCCCCAGAGGCUUGACCCGCGCCAUUCCUGGCGCGGACGCUUU
rnacentral:ncRNA from 1 species